rnacentral:tRNA from 1 species
GUUUAUGUAGCUUANAUUUACCCAAAGCAAGACACUGAAAAUGCCUAGAUGGACCCACAAAUCCCAUAAACA